rnacentral:rRNA from 1 species
AUGAAUCCAAGAGUCAACCAAGAGUGGACCCCCUUUGAGGUAGAGGGGGCAAGAUCAAUCAUAGAUUGGCUCAAGAACAACUACUGCAAUGAUGGCACCAUCUAUGGAAUAAACAAGAAGCAUGAGAUUGUGGGAACGCUCCAAGCAUGGUUCCCCAGGAAGACCAUGCAACAGGUAACAGACUUGUAUGUUGAUCUUGCCGCAAAGAUGCAUAUGCUUCAGUGUCUAGAGAAGGAAUACCAUGGUACCAAUAGUGACCAUGGUGUCAAUUACACCGUGGAUGGCCAUGCGCAUAAGAACUUCUGGUUGCAAGAGGCUGCCAUGCAAGGAACGGACUUUUUAUUUGGUUGUCCAUUAAAGAGUAUGCAAACCAUGGACACCCAACAGGAGGUGUCGAUGGUAGAGCAGAACAAGGUGGUGUUGGAGAAUAGGAUGCGCAUCCAUCAACCAGUGCUUGCACCAUGUGCCAAGGGGUUUUGGACCCCAGAUGAACACAGGCUCUUUCUCCAUGGCUUGAGCAUAUGUGGCCGUGGCAAAUGGAAGGACAUAUCAAAGCACUUCGUCCCUAGUAGGACUUCGACCCAGAUUUCAAGCCAUGCACAGAAGUACUUCAUGAGGCUAAAGAGCAAAGGGUCGGGAAGCCAACGCUACCGCAUCAACGACGCGGAGCUCAAUGAUGCCAACCCAUGGAAAAUGAAGAGUACCAUUAACUCCUGGCAAGCACUCGCCUUCCAAUCUACAGUUGGUGCUGAUAACCAAAAUCCAAGCUUUGACUUGCAAACUCUUUCGAGUCCAUUUGUCACCAUGAACAAUAUAGCCUAG